rnacentral:rRNA from 1 species
CCUACGGGAGGCAGCAGUGAGGAAUAUUGGUCAAUGGGCGAGAGCCUGAACCAGCCAAGUAGCGUGAAGGAUGACUGCCCUAUGGGUUGUAAACUUCUUUUAUAAAGGAAUAAAGUCGGGUAUGGAUACCCGUUUGCAUGUACUUUAUGAAUAAGGAUCGGCUAACUCCGUGCCAGCAGCCGCGGUAAUACGGAGGAUCCGAGCGUUAUCCGGAUUUAUUGGGUUUAAAGGGAGCGUAGAUGGAUGUUUAAGUCAGUUGUGAAAGUUUGCGGCUCAACCGUAAAAUUGCAGUUGAUACUGGAUGUCUUGAGUACAGUAGAGGCAGGCGGAAUUCGUGGUGUAGCGGUGAAAUGCUUAGAUAUCACGAAGAACUCCGAUUGCGAAGGCAGCCUGCUAGACUGUAACUGACACUGAUGCUCGAAAGUGUGGGUAUCAAACAGGAUUAGAUACCCUAGUAGUC